rnacentral:rRNA from 1 species
UACGGAGGGAGCUAGCGUUGUUCGGAAUUACUGGGCGUAAAGCGCACGUAGGCGGCCUUGUAAGUUAGAGGUGAAAGCCCGGGGCUCAACUCCGGAACUGCCUUUAAGACUGCAUCGCUUGAAUCCAGGAGAGGUGAGUGGAAUUCCGAGUGUAGAGGUGAAAUUCGUAGAUAUUCGGAAGAACACCAGUGGCGAAGGCGGCUCACUGGACUGGUAUUGACGCUGAGGUGCGAAAGCGUGGGGAGCAAACAGG